rnacentral:rRNA from 1 species
GACGAAGGUGGCAAGCGUUGUUCGGAAUCACUGGGCUUAAAGAGCAUGUAGGCGGCUCAUCAAGCGUCUUGUGAAAUCCCUCGGCUCAACCGAGGAAUUGCUGGACGGACUGAUGUGGCUUGAGGCAGGUAGGGGCGCGUGGAACUCUUGGUGGAGCGGUGGAAUGCGUAGAUAUCAAGAGGAACGCCAGAGGCGAAAGCGAUGCGCUGGGCCUGUCCUGACGCUGAGAUGCGAAAGCCAGGGGAGCAAACGGG